CGCGCCGAAAAUGUACCGGGGCUAAACAUAUUACCGAAACUGUGGAUGAACCUCUUUAGAGGUUCGUGGUAGGAGAGCGUUCUAAGGGCGGUGAAGUCAGACCGGAAGGACUGGUGGAGCGCUUAGAAGUGAGAAUGCCGGUAUGAGUAGCGAAAGAAGGGUGAGAAUCCCUUCCACCGAAUAUCUAAGGUUUCCUGAGGAAGGCUCGUCCGCUCAGGGUUAGUCGGGACCUAAGCCGAGGCCGAUAGGCGUAGGCGAUGGACAACAGGUAGAGAUUCCUGUACCAGUGCUAAUUGUUUAACCGAUGGGGUGACACAGAAGGAUAGGGAAUCGCACGAAUGGAAAUGUGCGUCCAAGCAGUGAGUGUGAGAAGUAGGCAAAUCCGCUUCUCGCGAAGCAUGAGCUGUGAUGGGGAAGGAAAUUAAGUACGGAAGUUCCUGAUUUCACGCUGUCAAGAAAAGCCUCUAGGAAGAGUAGUACUGCCCGUACCGCAAACCGACACAGGUAGAUGAGGAGAGAAUCCUAAGGUGAGCGAGAGAACUCUCGUUAAGGAACUCGGCAAAAUGACCCCGUAACUUCGGGAGAAGGGGUGCUCUAUUAGGGUGCAAGCCCGAGAGAGCCGCAGUGAAUAGGCCCAGGCGACUGUUUAGCAAAAACACAGGUCUCUGCAAAACCGUAAGGUGACGUAUAGGGGCUGACGCCUGCCCGGUGCUGGAAGGUUAAGAGGAGUGCUUAGCUUCGGCGAAGGUACGAAUUGAAGCCCCAGUAAACGGCGGCCGUAACUAUAACGGUCCUAAGGUAGCGAAAUUCCUUGUCGGGUAAGUUCCGACCCGCACGAAAGGCGCAACGAUCUGGGCACUGUCUCAACGAGAGACUCGGUGAAAUUAUAGUACCUGUGAAGAUGCAGGUUACCCGCGACAGGACGGAAAGACCCCGUGGAGCUUUACUGCAACCUGAUAUGGAAUGUUUGUACCGCUUGUACAGGAUAGGUAGGAGCCGAAGAGACGUGUGCGCUAGCAUACGAGGAGGCAAUGGUGGGAUACUACCCUGGCUGUAUGACCAUUCUAACCCGCCACGCUUAGCGCGUGGGGAGACAGUGUCAGGUGGGCAGUUUGACUGGGGCGGUCGCCUCCUAAAGAGUAACGGAGGCGCCCAAAGGUUCCCUCAGAAUGGAUGGAAAUCAUUCGCAGAGUGUAAAG
rnacentral:rRNA from 1 species